UACGAAGGGGGCUAGCGUUGCUCGGAAUGACUGGGCGUAAAGGGCGCGUAGGCGGCACGGCAAGUCGGGAGUGAAAGGCCUGGGCUCAACCGAGGAACUGCUUUCGAGACUGCCGAGCUAGAGUGCGGAAGGGGCAACUGGAAUUCCCAGUGUAGCGGUGAAAUGCGUAGAUAUUGGGAAGAACACCUGAGGCGAAGGCGGGUUGCUGGGCCGACACUGACGCUGAGGCGCGAAAGCCAGGGGAGCAAACGGG
rnacentral:rRNA from 1 species